AAUUACCACAACAAAUUAAUUCAAGUACUUUACUAUAGUAUGGGUAAAAAAAAAAACUAUAGUAUUUACUAUAAAUUACUAUAGUAUUUUUUUUACCUGGGCAUGUUUACCCUACAAUACAUGUUAUGAGCAUGUCUCUUCAUUUUGACAUUGUUUUUGUAAUGUUGAUUGAGGCAUUUGACCAUUUUAAUAGUCAGACAUAACAGAGAGAUCAUCAUAAUAAUAAUACCACGUGUGAUAUUGUGUCACGUACUGUGUUCUCUGUAAGUGAUUUCAGUGCAGCCAAUAUAUGACAAAAGAAUAAUAAAUAAAUUGGUCAAGUACUAGGCUUAGGCCUAAUUUAUGUCUAUUUAUUUAUAUGAAAUGAACUUAAAAUGUUUUAUUUGACCAAUUGGACUCUCUCUUUUUCAAGAAACACACAAUCCAAGAAGGAAGAUCCUUUCCUGGACUAUAGAGAUGCACCACAUGCUGCAAGGAGUUCCUCUGCCCGUUCUGCUUUGUUUCACCCAACAAAGUGGAGCAAAGUGAAAUCCCAUUUGGAGAGCCAUUUCAAAUGCAGUUCUCUAUGAAGACCAUCAUAUAUGGUCUGGCUGGGCUGCAGAAUUUCUCUGCGGGAUGUUGAGAAGACCUUCUUCUCUGGUCCGGAUUAUCAUCACAUUGAAGUGGAAGAAAAGAGAAACGAGGGGAGAGCAUCCGUUGG